rnacentral:lncRNA from 1 species
AUAAAAACUUAAGAAAAACUUGAUUGUAGGGAUAGAGUUCGGGAAUCAAAAUCAGGGGGCUCACCUUCUCCUUCUGCAAUUUUUGCUGUGCUGGUGCUAGCGUUGCGAAUCGAAGGUUAAGGAGGCUCAGCCCUCAAGGUCCCACUAUCUCAGGUUCGCAGUCUGCUGUCGGUGCUUCAAGGGCUCUAUUUCGAAGCCCGAAGGUGUUGCUGCUGCGUGAAUCGUGACUUGCAUCUAGAGCAGCCGCGAUUGAGAAGUUCAACAUCGGAGACUGCAGAUAAAUGGCGAAGACACAGAGGCGGCUGAUGACUAAUUGAAGAAAGUGUUUUUUUGGGAGAGAACGGCAUGAACGCAGUAGGAACGAACGAAGACGCCAGCCCUAUUUGGUAAAAUUGAAGGAGAUGGAAAAUAAUUGAGACGAGACGAAAAGAU